UUAAAAACUCACUGUGAAUACCUUGAAAUCAUCAGUAACUUUGUAUAUUCUAAACACGACAUAACAACUUAUAGAAAAACGAUGAAACUAUUGCAACUAAUAUUUAUACUCGGCUGCAUUACUGCUGGUGUGUUGGCUGUCCCAAAUAAUUAUAUACAUGGCAACAAUAACCACAACAAUCAUCAAACAACUAUAACUAUUCCUAUUAUUAUUGGAUAAUGCCAGACGAUAAUAGCUAUUAAUAGCAGAUAAUAAAAAACUAAUACAAAAUUUAUGAAACAUUAAAAUUAAAGUGAAAUGAAAAUAAACUAAAUUUAAGCAAUUAAAA